UUGUUUGGUUUAGAUGACUACUUUAAUAUUUUGUUUUGAUAUAAUUUUUUUUUGAUUGUUUGAUUUGUUAAGUAAAUUAGAUAUAUUUGAUUUGUUGUUAGUUGGUACUUGGACUCCAAUUAUGUAUUAUUUGGAUCCUUCUUGUUCAAAUCUAUCUUUUAUCAUAACUUUAUUAGUGUGGAUAUAAAGCAUAGUUAAUUGGGCCACACAAUAGGAAGGUUUUGAUUUUUUUUAAUCAAAUUUUGAACUUAUUUAUGUAUAAUUAUUAUCUUACUAAUUAUAGAUUUACUAUAUGAUAUGAUUCUUAAUUGUAACAAAUAUUUAUAUCUUUAGCUCAUUUUGUAACAAUAUAUAUAUAUAUAUAU
rnacentral:lncRNA from 1 species